rnacentral:rRNA from 1 species
AACGGUCCUAAGGUAGCGAAAUUCCUUGUCGGGUAAGUUCCGACCCGCACGAAAGGCGUAACGAUUUGGGCACUGUCUCAACAACAGACUCGGUGAAAUUGUAAUUCCGGUGAAGAUGCCGGAUACCUGCGACAGGACGGAAAGACCCCAUGGAGCUUUACUGUAGCUUGACAUUGGGUCUUGGUACUACAUGUACAGGAUAGGUGGGAGGCUUUGAAACCAGGACG